rnacentral:lncRNA from 1 species
AUUUGCUUAAUUGAAGUUAGUUCCAGCGUGACAUUGGAGAGCACAAAAAGCUUCAGCUUAGUUCCAGCAAUUCACCAUCACACUCGAAAAACAAGCAAACUCCUCCGAUUUGAAUUUGUGAAUUUGUGGUUUCCUUCACCUGAGUUCCUCCGAUUUGAAUCUCUCAUCUCAAACUCUGAGCUCCGAACUUCAAUUUAAUCCCCAGAGAGAGAUUGAUCCGAGCUCAAAACUCUCCGACAUCGUCGUAGCAGCAUCCCUCGCGAUCUCCUCCGCUUGAGAUCAAAAUUUUGGUGCGACCUUUUCAUUUCUCCUCUAAUUUCAUAUAUAAUUUAUCUAUUUAUAACCAUUAUUCUAUCAUUUUAUUGAAGCUCUGCUUUGGUGCAUUGUAAUUGAAGCUCUACUUUCGAAUUGAAGUCCAGUCUCACAGUAGCCAUUCUAAGUAGUAAGUUUCUCAAUCUCCUUCCUUGACUAUUUUCUAUGUAUUUUUGUGUAAAUUGUUUGUAUUCUUAGUUUUUGAAUUGGAAUUUCUGGUUAAUUAAGCAAACUCGACUGCAAAUGAAACUUUCAAUUAAAUUUGAAUGGGGAUUUUAGGUUGUCCUUUUCUUUUGUUUUGCUGCAAUUGUAUAUGAAUUUUUUGUUGAUUUAUAGUUCUACAAAAUUAAGCUCGAAAUUAUACAAUUUCUUUGUUUUUAGCUUGUUAGUUUUGAAAUGGACAAGAGUUGGAUUAAUGCGCCAAGGGUUAGUGAUGUUUAUAAGAGUGGAUGUGAGUCAUUCAUACAAUUUGCCAUGGAAGCUCAAGAAACUAUACUUUGCCCCUGCUUGAAGUGUUGUAAUGGCAAAAGGUUUUCAACUGAAAAUGUUCUUCAUCACAUAUUAUUCAAUGGUUUUUGUCCGGGAUAUACUACUUGGAAUUUUCACGGAGAACAUGUAUCGUCGGCAUGUUUGAGCUGCACACGAUUGAGGCGUUUGAGCUGCACACGAGAUACUUGUGAAAUUAGGUAGGCAUGUUUUAACACAAACUGUUCUUGUUUUCUUGUUUCAAGUUUGCAAAUGGCCAUUUUUCAUGAUGAGCAAUACAAAUGUUUUCUUUCCCCCUGGUGGUGUCUGUGUUUUACUAGAUAAGAAAGAGAUCAUAAUUAUUUAUGUCUUUGAUCUUUUUAGAAAAGAGAUACCAUGAACAUGAAUAGAAGAAGAAGUUGGGAAUAUACCUGCCUUAAAUUCAGGAAGAAUCAACUACCAAUUCAAGUCUUUGAUCUUUUUAGAAAAGAGAUGCCAUGAACAUGAAUAGAAGAAAAGGUUGGGAAUAUAUCUGCUUAGUAGACUCAGCCACUCACUUAUUUGACUUUACCUGCAGUAAUGUUAUUUAGUUGGAAGAUUCACUGAAAAAGAAGUAUGAGAAACAUGAUGAAUCUUUGUUUCAUCCAAGUCAAAUUCCAGAUUUUGGUAUCCGAGUCUGUUGGCAGGUCUCAAUCUUGUUUGAAAUCUUAAACUUUCUUGGGAGGCUAGUUUGUUUAGGGGUUGUUCAAUGGAGCUAUCAGAUUUUCCAAUUUGUAUAUACGUGGGAACCUUAAAAAGUCCAGGUGUCAUCAUUUUGCCUAUGGUUAAACCUUUUCUUUCCUUUAUGUCUUUAUUGUAAAUAAAGUACCAGAUUCAUACACGAUGGAAGUUAGAUGAUUGAUUUGAUGUUUCCUGUUUGCCCUGUCUAUCAUUUUGCAGCUAGCAUUUGUGUUGUAAGUUUGGACCCGAAGAGUUUGAAGUUUGGAAUCAAAACGACAUAAACUGUAGGGGACUUGUCUGUAAGUAGAAAUGUUAUUUCUCAUGAUGAGUAUAUGGCUCUAUUGAACUUAGUUAGAAAUAUGUAUCAUAAAGUUAUUUUACUACGAAUUAGUUAAGUUCUACUAAUUUUGACAUCACCAUUGCAGAUCUAAAUGUUUUGAUCAUGUUUCGAUCCAAAGUGACAAUAUCCCAGUACAAAAAAGGCCCUCCAACAACAAAUUGUAGUUCUCUACCGCCACCAUCUUCCACAUUCUCACAAUCUCUUACUAUUGAUUCACAUCAUUCUCCAGAUUCUAUUUUCAACCACUUGCGUCCACCUUCAUUAAAUAGUAAUUACACACAGCUAAGCCCCCUUCGGCAUUCACCAUCCCACUUCAUUCUCCUCCGAGACAGAUGAUAGUGAAUCUAACAACAAUGAUGAUAAUCACAUGUUCAAGUUUCUGAGAGUAAUGUACUUGAAAAUAUUGAGAUUGUAGGUAAUGUUUCUGUACACUCAAUGUAGUAGAAUCUUUUCCCUCCUUUGUAUUUAAUUCAGUAAGUUAUUGUGUUAUUUACAACUCUUUUGAUAUAAGCUAGAGAUAUAUUUAGUAAGCUACUUUGGUUUCUAUGACAGAUGACAAAGGCCAUGUGAAACUGACAAGAAUGGGAAUGAAAGCUAGUGAUGUUUUCAAGUUGGC